UACGAAGGGGGCUAGCGUUGUUCGGAUUCACUGGGCGUAAAGGGUGCGUAGGUGGCUGGGAAAGUUUGAUGUGAAAGCUCAGGGCUUAACCCUGAAAUGGCAUUGAAUACUACUUAGCUUGAGGUUUGGAGGGGGGACUGGAAUUCUUGGUGUAGCAGUGAAAUGCGUAGAUAUCAAGAGGAACACCAGUGGCGAAGGCGAGUCCCUGGACAACACCUGACACUGAGGCACGAAAGCUAGGGGAGCAAACAGG
rnacentral:rRNA from 1 species